rnacentral:rRNA from 1 species
AUUNAGAGGAAGUAAAAGUCGUAACAAGGUCUCCGUUGGUGAACCAGCGGAGGGAUCAUUA